UCUCUCAUGGCGCAAUCGGUGGCGCGUCCGACUGUUAACUCAGCAGAUCAUCGGAAGGUCGUAAGUUCGAUCCUUACUGAGAGAG